rnacentral:rRNA from 1 species
UACGGAGGAUGCAAGCGUUAUCCGGAAUGAUUGGGCGUAAAGCGUCCGCAGGUGGCUGUGUAAGUCUGCUGUCAAAGAGCGAAGCUCAACUUCGUAAAGGCAGUGGAAACUACACGGCUAGAGUGCGUUCGGGGCAGAGGGAAUUCCUGGUGUAGCGGUGAAAUGCGUAGAGAUCAAGAAGAACACCGGUGGCGAAGGCGCUCUGCUAGGCCGCAACUGACACUGAGGGACGAAAGCUAGGGGAGCGAAUGGG